GGGGGGCGCGGACACGCGUGGUGUGCGCGGUCCCCGUGCAGCCCGCCCUGCCGCAGGCUGCCCUCCACCCCCAGCCCCAGCUCCAGCCCCCAGCCUGUCCCCACUGCUCAUAUCCGAGCAGAUAGACCCCGGCCCCACCCUCCCGUGCUGAGCCUCCUUUCUGCCGGGAAGUUCGUCCGGGAGUCAAACAUCGCUGCCCUCCGGUUGCGCCACGGAGGGGGAGCCAGGAUAGGAAGCUGCCAUGAAAUCAGGAAGCUGAGCGCGCCGGGCCCCGGAUCCGAUCAGAAAAGGCUUCCACCUGCUCCCCUGAGCGAUCCCACGCUGAGGGACUGAACCCCGCACCCCAGCCGCGCUCACCACCCCCACGCUCUCGCCUGGGCUGCUCUGACCUGGGGUUCACUUUCUGAAGAUGAUUCUGAAGAAGAGGAAUUGGAAGAGGAAUCCGAGCCUUCUGAAUGAAUUCCAGAACUGCCACUCAAAGUGCCAUAUGAGGAGCUGUGGUAACAGGGUAAUGUUCUCAUGACUCAAAAAUCAGUGGAAAAAGGUACAGGAUGAGAAGCCUUGUUUCCCAACCCUAUCAACAGGGCUGUGCUGUUUCCCUCUACUACCAAUGCUCUUCUUAAAUACGGCUCACUUCAUGUCCUUCUGAUACCUGCUUAAAUGUCAUCUUCUCAAAAUGGCCUUGUCUGACCAACUUAUUAAAAUAGUAUCCCACCUAC
rnacentral:antisense_RNA from 1 species